UUGUCUCAAAGAUUAAGCCAUGCAUGUCUAAGUAUAAGCAAUUAUACGGCGAAACUGCGAAUGGCUCAUUAAAUCAGUUAUUGUUUAUUUGAUAGUACCUUACUACUUGGAUAACCGUGGUAAUUCUAGAGCUAAUACAUGCUAAAAACCCCGACUUCGGGAGGGGUGUAUUUAUUAGAUUAAAAACCAAUGCCCUUCGGGGCUUCUUGGUGAUUCAUGAUAACUUCUCGGAUCGCACGGCCUUGUGCCGGCGACGGUUCAUUCAAAUUUCUGCCCUAUCAACUUUCGACGGCUGGGUAUUGGCCAGCCGUGGUGACAACGGGUAACGGAGGGUUAGGGCUCGACCCCGGAGAAAACGCCUGAGAAACGGCGUUUACAUCCAAGGAAGGCAGCAGGCGCGCAAAUUACCCAAUGCCGACUCGGCGAGGUAGUGACGAUAAAUACUGGUACGGGGCUCUUUAGGGUCUCGUAACUGGAAUGAGUACAAUUUAAAUCCCUUAACGAGGAACAAUUGGAGGGCAAGUCUGGUGCCAGCAGCCGCGGUAAUUCCAGCUCCAAUAGCGUAUAUUAAAAUUGUUGAGAUUAAAAAGCUCGUAGUUGAACCUUGGGCCUGGCUGGCCGGUCCGCCUCACCGCGUGCACUGGUUCGGCCGGGCCUUUCCCUCCGGGGAUCCCCAUGCCCUUUACUGGGCGUGGCGGGGAACCGGGACUUUUACUUUGAAAAAAUUAGAGUGUUCAAAGCAGGCCUAUGCUCGAAUACAUUAGCAUGGAAUAAUAGAAUAGGACGUGCGGUUCUAUUUUGUUGGUUUCUAGGACCGCCGUAAUGAUUAAUAGGGACAGUCGGGGGCGUCAGUAUUCAAUUGUCAGAGGUGAAAUUCUUGGAUUUAUUGAAGACUAACUACUGCGAAGGCAUUCGUCAAGGAUGUUUUCAUUAAUCAGGAACGAAAGUUAGGGGAUCGAAGACGAUCAGAUACCGUCGUAGUCUUAACCGUAAACUAUUAAGUCUAGGGAUCGGACGGUGUUAUUUUUUGACCCGUCCGGCACCUUACACGAAAGUAUAAGAGCUUAUUCUGGGGAAAUACGGUAGCAAUACUGAAACUUAAAGGAA
rnacentral:rRNA from 1 species